rnacentral:rRNA from 1 species
UACGUAGGGGGCAAGCGUUGUCCGGAAUCAUUGGGCGUAAAGAGCGUGUAAGCGGUCCUGUAAGUCCGCUGUGAAAGUCAAGGGCUCAACCCUUGAAUGCCGGUGGAUACUGCAGGACUAGAGUCCGGAAGAGGCGAGUGGAAUUCCUGGUGUAGCGGUGAAAUGCGCAGAUAUCAGGAGGAACACCGAUGGCGAAGGCAGCUCGCUGGGACGGUACUGACGCUGAGACGCGAAAGCGUGGGGAGCAAACAGG